rnacentral:tRNA from 1 species
GGGCCCGUAGCUCAGCAUGGGAGAGCGGCGGGCUCUUAACCCGCAGGUCGGGGGUUCGAGUCCCCCCGGGCCCG